CACAACACACUCCAGGGUAAAUUCAUUUCAGCCACAGUUUCUCACACCGUGCCUCUGCGGACAACCCCUCAGCCCUCACCACUUCCCCUGGCUCAGCUUGGUAUUGCUAACUGGGCAGCUUGAUGCAGAUGCCUGAGAUACCUUCAGUUGUCCCAGACAAUUCCAUUUGCCCCUCCCUUUCAUACCUGCUUCUCACUGACUCCACAGUGUCCCUUAACACCCGGUGAUUGGGACUCAGGCACAGGUGCAGGGCUGAAGGACACUCCCAGCCUGCUUGCCCUGUCACCCGCAGAAGUCAAGGCACGUCCUGCCUUCAGGGCACCUUCUCCAGCCACCCUCCCAGGCUCUGUGCUUCCCACCAGCCCGUCCAUUGGUGUGGACCCUCGUGCCUUCCUCUGCACCCUCCAGAG
rnacentral:lncRNA from 1 species